AUUGAACGCUAGCGGGAUGCCUUACACAUGCAAGUCGAACGGCAGCACGGACUUCGGUCUGGUGGCGAGUGGCGAACGGGUGAGUAAAGUAUCGGAACGUGCCUAGUAGCGGGGGAUAACUACUCGAAAGAGUAGCUAAUACCGCAUACGCCCUACGGGGGAAAGGGAGGGAUCGCAAGACCUCUCACUAUUAGAGCGGCCGAUAUCGGAUUAGCUAGUUGGUGAGGUAAAGGCUCACCAAGGCGACGAUCCGUAGCGGGUUUGAGAGGACGACCAGCCAGACUGGGACUGAGACACGGCCCAGACUCCUACGGGAGGCAGCAGUGGGGAAUUUUGGACAAUGGGGGCAACCCUGAUCCAGCCAUUCCGCGUGUGCGAUGAAGGCCUUCGGGUUGUAAGCACUUUUGGCAGGAAAGAAAUCGCACGGGAUAACACCCCGUGUGGAUGACGGUACCUGCAGAAUAAGCACCGGCUAACUACGUGCCAGCCGCCGCCGUAAGAC
rnacentral:rRNA from 1 species